rnacentral:rRNA from 1 species
GACGAACGCUGGCGGCGUGCUUAACACAUGCAAGUCGAGCGGAAAGGCCACUUCGGUGGUACUCGAGCGGCGAACGGGUGAGUAACACGUGAGUAAUCUGCCCCUGGCUUUGGGAUAGCCACCGGAAACGGUGAUUAAUACCGGAUAUGACCACGUCUCGCAUGGGGUGUGGUGGAAAGUUUUUCGGCCAGGGAUGUGCUCGCGGCCUAUCAGCUUGAUGGUGAGGUAAUGGCUCACCAUGGCUUCGACGGGUAGCCGGCCUGAGAGGGUGACCGGUCACACUGGGACGGAGACAAAGCCCAGACGCCUACGGGGGGCAGCAGUGGGGAAUAUUGGACAAUGGGCGGAAGCCUGAUCCAGCAACGCCGCGUGGGGGAUGACGGCCUUCGGGUUGUAAACCUCUUCCAGUACCGACGAGGCGCAAGUGACGGUAGGUACAGAAGAAGCACCGGCCAACUACGUGCCAGCCGCCCGCCGUAACAC